rnacentral:rRNA from 1 species
GACGAACGCUGGCGGCAUGCUUAACACAUGCAAGUCGAACGAGUGGCGAACGGGUGAGUAACACGUGGGUGACCUGCCCUGCACUACGGGAUAAGCCUGGGAAACUGGGACUAAUACCGGAUAGUGUGGGAGGGGCCCGCGGCCUAGCAGCUUGUUGGUGGGGUAAUGGCUACCAGGGCGCGACGGGUAGCCGGCCUGAGAGGGUGGCCGGCAACAUUGGGACUGAGACACGGCCCAGACGCCUACGGGAUGCAGCAGUGGGGAAUAGUGCACAAUGGGCGGAAGCCUGAGGCAGGGAUGCCGCGUGGGGGAUGAUGGCCUUCGGGUUGUAAAGGACUUUUGUUAGGGAGACGGUACCUAAAGAAUAAGCACCGGCUAACUACGUGCCAGCAGCCGCGGUAAUUC